GAGGGGCCCGCACAAGCGCGGAGCAUGUGGAUUAAUUCGAUGCAACGCGAAGAACCUUACCUGGGCUUGACAUACACCAGAUCGGCGCAGAGAUGCGUUUUCCCUUGUGGUUGGUGUACAGGUGGUGCAUGGUUGUCGUCAGCUCGUGUCGUGAGAUGUUGGGUUAAGUCCCGCAACGAGCGCAACCCUUGUCUUAUGUUGCCAGCACGUGAUGGUGGGGACUCAUGAGAGACUGCCGGGGUUAACUCGGAGGAAGGUGGGGAUGACGUCAAAUCAUCAUGCCCCUUAUGUCCAGGGCUUCACACAUGCUACAAUGGUCGGUACAACGCGUGUGCGACACUGUGAGGUGAAGCUAAUCGCUCUAAAGCCGGUCGUAGUUCGGAUUGGGGUCCGCAACUCGACCCCAUGAAGUCGGAGUCGCUAGUAAUCGCAGAUCAGCAACGCUGCGGUGAAUACGUUCCCGGGCCUU
rnacentral:rRNA from 1 species